rnacentral:tRNA from 1 species
GCCAGAGUGGUGGAAUGGCAGACACAACGGACUUAAAAUCCGUAGUCCGCAAGGGCGUGCGGGUUCGACUCCCGCCUCUGGCACCA